UCAGUUCGGAUCGGAGUCUGNAACCCGACUCCGUGAAGCUGGAUUCGCUAGUAAUCGCGCAUCAGCCAUGGCGCGGUGAAUACGUUCCCGGGCCUUGUACACACCGCCCGUCAAGCCAUGGGAGCCGGGGGGUGCUUGAAGUGCGUCGCCGCAAGGCGCGCCCUAGAGCAAAACCGGUGACUGGGGCUAAGUCGUAACAAGGUACC
rnacentral:rRNA from 1 species